ensembl:snRNA U2 U2 spliceosomal RNA
AUCACUUCUCGGCCUUUUGGCUAAGAUCAAGUGUAGUAUCUGUUCUUAUCAGUUUAAUAACCUCUACCCCAAUGUGGGGCUUGUACUCACAACCCCAA